rnacentral:rRNA from 1 species
AGUGGGGAAUAUUGGACAAUGGGCGAAAGCCUGAUCCAGCCAUGCCGCGUGUGUGAAGAAGGCUUUCGGGUUGUAUAGCACUUUCAGUGGGGAAGAAAUCCUCGGGGCCAAUACCCUCGAGGGAGGACAUCACCCACAGAAGAAGCACCGGCUAACUCCGUGCCAGCAGCCGCGGUAAUACGGAGGGUGCGAGCGUUAAUCGGAAUUACUGGGCGUAAAGCGCGCGUAGGCGGCGUGAUAAGCCGGUUGUGAAAGCCCAGGGCUCAACCUGGGAACGGCAUCCGGAACUGUCAGGCUAGAGUGCAGGAGAGGAAGGUAGAAUUCCCGGUGUAGCGGUGAAAUGCGUAGAGAUCGGGAGGAAUACCAGUGGCGAAGGCGGCCUUCUGGACUGACACUGACGCUGAGGUGCGAAAGCGUGGGUAGCAAACAGGAUUAGAUACCCUGGUAGUCCACGCCGUAAACGAUGUCGACUAGCCGUUGGGGUCCUUGUGACCUUUGUGGCGCAGUUAACGCGAUAAGUCGACCGCCUGNAAAGUACGGCCGCAAGGUUA